rnacentral:tRNA from 1 species
GCGGACGUAGCUCAGUUGGUAGAGCGCGAUCUUCCCAAGAUCGAUGUCGCGAGUUCGAUUCUCGCCGUCCGCUCCA